GAGAAUGCAGUUCAGUGGUAGAGCACUUGCCUGACGUGUUAGAAGCCCUGGGUUCAAUCCCCAGCAUCACCA
rnacentral:tRNA from 1 species